rnacentral:rRNA from 1 species
UACGUAGGGUGCAAGCGUUGUCCGGAAUUAUUGGGCGUAAAGAGCUCGUAGGCGGCUUGUCACGUCGACUGUGAAAACCCGGGGCUCAACUCCGGGCCUGCAGUCGAUACGGGCGGGCUGGAGUUCGGUAGGGGAGACUGGAAUUCCUGGUGUAGCGGUGAAAUGCGCAGAGUAUCAGGAGGAACACCGGUGGCGAAGGCGGGGUC